GGGGCGAAGUGGUUCCUCCCGCCCAGCCCACUAGCAGUGCAUUCAAUUUGACCAAUCAGAAUGAAGGUUUUCAAAUCGACGACCCAAUCACACAGCGUGAAAGUCCACUUCACGAAGGUUAACGUGUUUGCAGUCGUUUAAAAGGAAUCUAUUUUUGGCCAGAAAUAAUUUUGUUUCUCAGGUUUCCUUUGUUUUACUUUACCGACUCGGGCUUUGCGAAGGUGGACACCACAGACAUAAUAAGAAAAGAACACAGAAGAGAAGAAUAUCCGGUCAAUUCCCUGUAGAAGUUAAAUGUGAAAAGAGCUAAAGAGGCGUGACUGGCAAGUACAAGCAGGAGAGGACAGACGCAGAGACUGCCAGAAUCGUCUUUCUUGGCAAGUUUAUUAUUGUUCGCAAGACAACACAGUUGUAGCUUCCUGGGAUUGUUGCCUCACUGAGAGGGCUUAGAGGUCAUGAAAACCUCAAAGGACCAGCUGGACCCUCACAAGCUCAAUGUGCUUAGAUGCUGUGUGAUAAAGCAGUUUCCAAAUCCCAUAGUGUCUGCAGUCGCAGAAAAUGCAACAAGUCCUACUCAAAGUCAGUACCUUCCACUCCAAGGAUAAGGAUUGUGACAUUUUUCUGUUUCAGCUUGGUUCCACCAUUUGUACUGUAUGCUUGUGACGGAGAACCUUCACUACAGUUGAAUAAGCGCUUGGACUGCCAUACCAACAAGCCUGGCUCUUUGGCGUUGCUGUCAAAGUUGCUUGUUUGGUACCCUGUUGACCUGUGUUCAAAUCUGGGCAGGGUGACUGCUCUCGCCAUUGGCUGCAUAUGGUGUCAGGAGUGGGACGGCUUGCCGUGAGGUCAUCGGAGUCGGGCCCAGAGUCCGAGGCGUAUGAGGGACCCCAUGGAGUUUCCUGGGAUUGUUGCCUCACUGAGAGGGCUUAGAGGUCACGAAAACCUCAAAGGACCAGCUGGACCCUCACAAGCUCAAUGUGCUUAGGUAUGUCUGGCUCCCGCACACGAUCACUGUUUUUGCUCUCACUACAUCUCAACGGGGUCAGACUAAAUAAACAAAUAUUCUUGUGAAAAAAUAAUUUUAUUUAAAAUAUUGUUAUACAUUAAGUAAUUGGCUACUUUUGUACUUCACAAAUUGACUGCUGUGUUAAUGUGAAAUAUAUCCCCUUUCUCACCUUUCUGCAAAGCUGCAAGAUAUAACUCACUUAAUUGAUGGCCAAGAUCAAAUCAGUCUUAUUAGCUGUAGAUCUUAAUUGGUACAAGUAAAUUAAGUGGUUGGAAACCUGUAUAAUUGUAUGAGUGCUUUUUGAUGGUGACUUACAGUAUGUUUUACCUGAAUGGCUCUAACAUUUUGUAAUCUGAGACAUGAGUAAAUUAUAUUCCGUAAUAAGUACAAAAAAUGCAACAUGGAGAGCUUCCCACAUUUUUUGGAUAUAAAUUCUCACAUCCUGACUUUGGAGAGUGUGUGAGUUGUGUUUCAGGACAGAUGGUACACUUGAACUGAGUCCUUUUGCUUUCAGGAAGUAAAUCUAAGUGAACCUGACAGGUAGUGUUGGGGAAGACAGUGAAUGCCAAGUCUCGGCUUGUUCCUACACACUCUUUGCCUUGGCAGGAAUCCUUUCGGAUAAACGAGCUUCAGUGGUCCUUAACAGGACCCGGUGUACUGUGUCAUGUCGAAGUUCAUAUUAGGUAAAGCAUGACUGCCUGCUGUAUGUUAACCGAUAGUUAGGGAGGAGGCUGUUUAACCAAGCCUUAGGAACAAAGCUAUUUCUGGUAGCAUACCAUUAUAGUACAAGUGUAAUACAAUAAUAUUAGUAUAUGUAUAGAACAAUCUAUUGCCAAUAUUUACACUGAUCUUUCACAAAUAAACUGGUAUUCAUAGAGAGCCAACUCUUGAUGUCAUAUAGCCACAUAUUGCAAACUAACUGGUUCAAUUCACAGUAAAAAAAAAAAAA